GAUGAACGCUGGCGGCGUGCCUAAUACAUGCAAGUCGAGCGAACAGACGAGGAGCUUGCUCCUCUGACGUUAGCGGCGGACGGGUGAGUAACACGUGGAUAACCUACCUAUAAGACUGGGAUAACUUCGGGAAACCGGAGCUAAUACCGGAUAAUAUAUUGAACCGCAUGGUUCAAUAGUGAAAGACGGUUUUGCUGUCACUUAUAGAUGGAUCCGCGCCGCAUUAGCUAGUUGGUAAGGUAACGGCUUACCAAGGCAACGAUGCGUAGCCGACCUGAGAGGGUGAUCGGCCACACUGGAACUGGGACACGGUCCAGGCUCCUAAGGGAGGCAGCAGUAGGGAAUCUUCCGCAAUGGGCGAAAGCCUGACGGAGCAACGCCGCGUGAGUGAUGAAGGUCUUCGGAUCGUAAAACUCUGUUAUUAGGGAAGAACAAAUGUGUAAGUAACUAUGCACGUCUUGACGGUACCUAAUCAGAAAGCCACGGCUAACUACGUG
rnacentral:rRNA from 1 species